GAGAGUCCAGCGAGUCCUGUCAUGGUCUGUCUACGAGGUGGCCGCACUAGGGGAGCGUCCAAGGCAUGUGGUGUUUCAUUGAGAUCGAAAAUGCUUAAAGAGAAUAAAAGAAAAGGAGAUGAGACCCUUGAGAAUCGCAAUCGACAGCAAGAAGUGCAGAGACCUGAUAUUGCUGGCUUUGUCUUGGAAGAACACCGUCGAUGACUCGAAGGCUUACUUCUCACAGUUUGGUGAAGUCAUCGUGGCACAGAAUUCGAUUGUGGCAAAUCCAGAUAGAGAUCCCACUUUUCGUAAAAAGAUUCCAGCUGCAUGGGGAACAUCAGAAGAAUAUAGCGUUUCUCAGAAAUGGAAAUCCUCCAAGCCGUAACAGUUGAGGCAGAUAGCAUUGGUGAGCGCCUGGCCUGAUGAUAGUCUUUGCCUAGUUGUGAUACCAUUGGAAUUUAGGAGCCUUUAAUAUCUCCAUCAGUUACAAUGUGACACACGUUGUGUUAUCACUGGUCUAGAAUACAAGGAGCUACUACCACCCAAUCUCGCCCUCAGUGCUGCGGUUGUGGUACUAAGAGACCAUCGUACAGGCUACGAAAGGACAGUUUUCCAGAAAUAAUGCCUGAACGCAGAUACCAUCAAUCCUAGCCCAAAUGUCCAAGAUGCGAAACACUUACUGGUGCUAGCAACGCGAGCCCCUGUAACAACUUUCAUUGAUUAUUGGACGUCCUAACAGUCUUGUUUUUUAAGGACACAACUUGUCUGCACAAUAAAAAAAUGAGAAUGUGGAAUGGUAAUGAAGAGCGAUUUACUGAAUAUAAGAGGAAUACAAUCUAAUAAUGUACUCGAGCAUUUUAUAUAUUGGGUCACGGAUAUGGGUCAGGUGUAAUUGUAUUUAGUAAGUUUUAUUUUUUUCACUUAUGACAGUGAAACAUUGAAUUCCAAUAGCUUAAGAGAAAACUGACUUCAGUGCGUGAUCAUUUAUAAUUCCUUUAAUGUUCAAUUGAAUAAGAUUAAUUGUGGUUCUGUGUGAACAUUAAUUUUUGUCUGCCUCAACAGUUAUUUUAAACAUUUUAAAUAGAAUAUCCA